rnacentral:misc_RNA from 1 species
UACGGAGGGCGCAAGCGUUGUUCGGAAUCACUGGGCGUAAAGAGCGUGUAGGCGGCUUGGUAAGUCGGGUGUGAAAGCCCGGGGCCCAACCCCGGAAUGUCAUCCGAAACUGCCUCGCUCGAGUCCCGGAGAGGGUGGCGGAAUUUCCGGUGUAGAGGUGAAAUUCGUAGAUAUCGGAAGGAACACCAGUGGCGAAGGCGGCCACCUGGACGGUGACUGACGCUGAGACGCGAAAGCGUGGGGAGCAAACAGG